CCUACGGGAGGCAGCAGUGAGGAAUAUUGGACAAUGGGCGCAAGCCUGAUCCAGCCAUGCCGCGUGCAGGAAGAAGCAUCUAUGGUGUGUAAACUGCUUUUGUACGGGAAGAAACACUCCUACGUGUAGGAGCUUGACGGUACCGUAAGAAUAAGGAUCGGCUAACUCCGUGCCAGCAGCCGCGGUAAUACGGAGGAUCCAAGCGUUAUCCGGAAUCAUUGGGUUUAAAGGGUCCGUAGGCGGUUUAAUAAGUCAGUGGUGAAAUCUGGUCGCUUAACGAUCAAACGGCCAUUGAUACUGUUAGACUUGAAUUAUUGUGAAGUAACUAGAAUAUGUAGUGUAGCGGUGAAAUGCUUAGAUAUUACAUGGAAUACCAAUUGCGAAGGCAGGUUACUAACAAUAUAUUGACGCUGAUGGACGAAAGCGUGGGGAGCGAACAGGAUUAGAUACCCUGGUAGUCCACGCCGUAAACGAUGGAUACUAGCUGUUGGGCGCAAGUUCAGUGGCUAAGCGAAAGUGAUAAGUAUCCCACCUGGGGAGUACGUUCGCAAGAAGAGAACGUACGAAGAAGUAGAGGCGUGAGAGAGCGACGGACGACGACGAGGGAGGAGG
rnacentral:rRNA from 1 species